rnacentral:misc_RNA from 1 species
UAAUAAUAAUAAUAAUAAUAGAAACUCUAGACUUCCUAAUUCCACAACAACUAUAAUUGCUAAAUUUAAUCCUCUUCCAAUACUGCAAAAGUACUUCACCUAAAUAUUACACCCACAAUCUAAAAAUAUAACCAUCAAAUGAAUUUUUAAUUACAGAAAUGCCAGAUAUCUCAAGCUACUUUAUUUUCAAGUUCUUGCAAAUCUCCUCCUGGGCUUUAACAAGAAGUAGCAAAAUGAUGAUAGGGCAAUAAAUAGGUCCUAGGAAUAGGAUAGGUUAGAUUCUUGCCAAUAAAUAGGUUAUGGUGGAUCAAUUAUAAGAAACUUAGAAGAAAACAUGAAUAAAUUGAUCAUGAGCAAAAAAAUACUAGAAAAACAGAAUCUACAAAUUAGAUAGGAAAUUUAACAAUAACGAUCAAUAGGUAAAAAAGUACUAUAAAUAAAUUAAAAAGGGAAGGGAAGAAAUGAAAGGAAGAGAAGGGUGAAAAUGAAUUUUGAAGGGGGACAAUAGAAUGGAUUAGUCAAAAACCUCUAAAGCCUUGAGUACAUG